rnacentral:piRNA from 1 species
GUGGCUGUCAACUAAAAAGUGAAUCUCGCA